GACGAACGCUGGCGGCGUGCCUAAUACAUGCAAGUAGAACGCUGAAGGAGGAGCUUGCUCUUCUGGAUGAGUUGCGAACGGGUGAGUAACGCGUAGGUAACCUGCCUGGUAGCGGGGGAUAACUAUUGGAAACGAUAGCUAAUACCGCAUAACAGUAGAUGUUGCAUGACAUUUACUUAAAAGGUGCAAUUGCAUCACUACCAGAUGGACCUGCGUUGUAUUAGCUAGUUGGUGGGGUAACGGCUCACCAAGGCGACGCUACAUAGCCGACCUGAGAGGGGGGACGGCCACACUGGGAAUGAGACACGGCCCAGACUCCUACAGGAGGCAGCAGUAGGGGAACUUCGGCAAUGGACGGAAGUCUGACCGAGCAACGCCGCGUGAGUGAAGAAGGUUUUCGGGUCGUGAAGCUCUGUUGUGAGAGAAGAACGAGUGUGAGGGUGGAAAGUUCACACUGUGACGGUAUCUUAACAGAAAGGGACGGCUAACUACGUG
rnacentral:rRNA from 1 species